UACGAAGGGGGCUAGCGUUGCUCGGAAUCACUGGGCGUAAAGGGUGCGUAGGCGGGUCUUUAAGUCAGGGGUGAAAUCCUGGAGCUCAACUCCAGAACUGCCCUUGAUACUGAGGAUCUUGAGUUCGGGAGAGGUGAGUGGAACUGCGAGUGUAGAGGUGAAAUUCGUAGAUAUUCGCAAGAACACCAGUGGCGAAGGCGGCUCACUGGCCCGAUACUGACGCUGAGGUGCGAAAGCGUGGGGAGCAAACAGGG
rnacentral:rRNA from 1 species